rnacentral:lncRNA from 1 species
AUCCGCAUCUCCAUUGGCAGCCUGAGCCGGUUGCGCAACAAGUGCGCUGUGUCCAAGGACCUCACCCAGCAGGAGAUACGGACCCUGGAGCCCUCUCAUCUUGUGGGUGAGGAAACCGAAGGCCUGAGGGAGAACUGACUUGCCUGGAACCCCUGUUAAGGAGAAUUAACAAAGUGUGGUUAUUAAAGGAGCACUGAGUUGGGAGUGAGACCUGGAGGCCCACACCCUUGGUUAAGACAUAAUACCACCUUGAGUCUGGCCUGUUGACUGAGG